rnacentral:rRNA from 1 species
GACGAACGCUGGCGGCGCGCCUAACACAUGCAAGUCGAACGGGCGAGAGAGAGCUUGCUUUCUCGAGCGAGUGGCGAACGGGUGAGUAACGCGUGAGGAACCUGCCUCAAAGAGGGGGACAACAGUUGGAAACGACUGCUAAUACCGCAUAAGCCCACGGCUCGGCAUCGAGCAGGGGGAAAAGGAGCAAUCCGCUUUGAGAUGGCCUCGCGUCCGAUUAGCUAGUUGGUGAGGUAACGGCCCACCAAGGCGACGAUCGGUAGCCGGACUGAGAGGUUGAACGGCCACAUUGGGACUGAGACACGGCCCAGACUCCUACGGGAGGCAGCAGUGGGGAAUAUUGCACAAUGGGGGAAACCCUGAUGCAGCGACGCCGCGUGGAGGAAGAAGGUCUUCGGAUUGUAAACUCCUGUUGUUGGGGAAGAUAAUGACGGUACCCAACAAGGAAGUGACGGCUAACUACGUG